ACGGAAGGCAGCAGUGGGGAAUAUUGCACAAUGGGGGAAACCCUGAUGCAGCGACGCCGCGUGGAGGAAGAAGUAUUUCGGUACGUAAACUCCUAUCAGCAGGGAAGAAAAUGACGGUACCUGACUAAGAAGCCCCGGCUAACUACGUGCCAGCAGCCGCGGUAAUACGUAGGGGGCAAGCGUUAUCCGGAUUCACUGGGUGUAAAGGGAGCGUAGACGGCAUGGCAAGCCUGAUGUGAAAACCCGCAGCUCAACUGCGGGCCUGCAUUGGGAACUGUCAAGCUAGAGUACUGGAUGGGCAGGCGGAAUUCCUGGUGUAGCGGUGGAAUGCGUAGAUAUCAGGAGGAACACCGGUGGCGAAGGCGGCCUGCUGGACAGAUACUGACGUUGAGGCUCGAAAGCGUGGGGGGCAAACAGGAUUAGAUACCCUGGUA
rnacentral:rRNA from 1 species